AGUGAACGCUGGCGGUAGGCCUAACACAUGCAAGUCGAACGGCAGCCCAGUAAUAGCUUGCUCUUACGGGUGGCGAGUGGCGGACGGGUGAGGAAUACAUCGGAAUCUACUUUUUCGUGGGGGAUAACGUAGGGAAACUUACGCUAAUACCGCAUACGACCUACGGGUGAAAGCAUGGGAUCUUCGGACCUUGCGCGAUCGAAUGAGCCGAUGUCGGAUUAGCUAGUUGGCGGGGUAAAGGCCCACCAAGGCGACGAUCCGUAGCUGGUCUGAGAGGAUGAUCAGCCACACUGGAACUGAGACACGGUCCAGACUCCUACGGGAGGCAGCAGUGGGGAAUAUUGGACAAUGGGCGCAAGCCUGAUCCAGCCAUACCGCGUGGGUGAAGAAGGCCUUCGGGUUGUAAAGCCCUUUUGUUGGGAAAGAAAAGCAGCAGGUGAAUACCCCGCUGUGCUGACGGUACCCAAAGAGUAAGCACCGGCUAACUUCGUG
rnacentral:rRNA from 1 species